rnacentral:tRNA from 1 species
GGGGUUGUGGCUCAGUGGUAGAGUGCUUGCCUAGCAUGGCAUGUGUGAGGCACUGGGUUAGAUCCUCAGCACCACA